AAAUGUGUUGUGUCUGAAGCCUAAACUAAACCAAAUCCGUUUAAGGUUAGGUCGAUUAGGUCUGAAGUAUUCUUCAUCUUCGACGGGUCACCAUCAGUCUCCGCCGUUGUUAGAUUAAAAGUCAAUCUUCCUCGCACCUUCUACCUUCCGUUUCUCUUCAUAUCCUUCUGUUUUGCAUCCUCCGCCGAACUUACCUCUCCUACCAUAUGCAAGGCAUUUUCAGUUCCCAUUAAAGUCCAUAACUCCCACGAACUCUCCAUCUCCCUCACGGCUUGAUGCAUAUCAAAACCAAAGAAGACAGAGAACCCUAUAUAUACGAGAGGGUUGGGGCUGCAAUCAAGCUUAACACACAAGCUCUCUAAGCUAUCUUCCCUCUAAAACCUAGAACCCUCUAUCCUGUAAAGGAUUCUGUUACCCAAGGUUUCAUCCUAGCUGGGCACAACAAUCACUACCGUCCAUCUUUACUUGACAGAUCUAUCGUCAAAGUUGAUAGGUUUGAAGUUGCACGAUGCACAAAUAUUACGACAGUGUAGCAACGUUUAGGGGUCUCCUAAAUACAGGCGAUAAGACCCAGUCUGUCAUGGUGGUAACGACUGUCAAUCCAAAAAUAUAUGGAGGGAACUUCUAUUUGAACUCCACGCCAGCCACCUAAUUUUACUUCGACAUCAACAUUUCUGUCAUCAAAGAGUUUACAAGCAGGGUAGCAGCAGCAAACUACAUUGGAUUGAACUCAUAUUCCCGUUUGUUGAUAUCAUGGAAGGAAUCAAAAAGAAAGAACUUGUGUCAAUUGGAGAACAAAACACGUUCGUCUCCAACUCUACUGAGCAGGUUCCGUGUUGAACUACCGGUUGACGAUGGCAACGAUAGUGCCAUGUUUGUAGUCUUCGACGUGUAGAUGACAAAGCUCGCCAAAAAAGAUACACCUAUACUGGCUCUUCAGGAGGUAUGUUUAUGCUACUACUCUCCAUUUCCCCUCCGUUUAUAAAGAUCUUAUGCUCCUUCUGAAUGCCUCUCAAACCUCAAACCUACGACAUAUGAGUGGCGCUGGAGGGUAGUAACUCUCACGAUGCCUUGAAGAGCUAGCUGACAAGGAUUUUGUUUUCCAUAUCCGUGUCACUCCAUACAAUUUUACCCUUAACUACAGUGCUUUCACCGUCUCUGCAAUAAGUGACGAUAGCUUCUUUAGAACUCAGGCAGAGAGUAGCAGCAGCAACCAAGUACAGUCAUGGGCUGGGAAGUUGGAGAAGCACCAGCCUGUGCCAGCAAUACAGUUGAUGCGGCGAAGUUACCAGUUGGAGUUGAUGAAGGAAAUCCUCCCGGCUCUGGAGACAGAAAAAAACCGAAAACGUCCCUGUAAGUGAUCGUUUCAAGUCGAUCAAACCGUCAACCCCAUUUAGCUAUCAUGUCUUUUAAAAUUGCAAUAUUUUGGAUUUUGGUUCUGUCUUCCAUUUUCUGCACACUUCCUCCCCCAGGAGAAAGAGUAACUUUUUAAAAGAAAAUAAUAAAGGCAGCGUUGACGGUUAUUUGCAUAUUGAGAAUGUUGUUAACUGAAUGCAGCA